UACGUAGGGGGCAAGCGUUGUCCGGAUUUAUUGGGCGUAAAGAGCGUGUAGGCGGCCAGACAGGUCCGUUGUGAAAACUCGAGGCUCAACCUCGAGACGCCGAUGGAAACCGUCUGGCUAGAGUCCGGAAGAGGAGAGUGGAAUUCCUGGUGUAGCGGUGAAAUGCGCAGAUAUCAGGAAGAACACCCGUGGCUAAGGCGGCUCUCUAGUACGGUACUGACGCUGAGGAGCGAAAGUGUGGGGAGCGAACAGG
rnacentral:rRNA from 1 species